GCGUAUGCAGCUGAAGAAGUUCUCUUUCAGGCUCAGGAGGCGUUGCCACGGCCUUCCGGCUGGUGGAAGCCGUCGAGGCGCCGGCAGUUGGACGGUCGAGUGACCACUUCGCAUUCCUGGGGAGAGCUGGCCAACAACAGUUACGCCUGGCUCAUGAGGACGGGUGGGAAGGUAGUUCCCUGUUUUCAGGGAGAACUUACAGCCAUCCGUCUGGCAGUCCGGGUGUGACUGAGGAGAAGUGCGAGUUUUCGCACAAGCAGUGCAGGCCCCUUGGGGCCGGGUCGCCUCUGCUCGUUUGGGCACCGCGCUGUUGACUGCGUGCAGUGUUCAGCGACGGACUGUCUGCUCGUGCGGGGGAUCGGCCACGCCUUGCACUGUGGUUGUUGGUGCCCAAAUGGCUGCAUCCGA
rnacentral:rRNA from 1 species